rnacentral:rRNA from 1 species
GGAGUGGACGCAUCACUGGUGUUCGGGUUGUCAUGCCAAUGGCACUGCCCGGUAGCUAAAUGCGGAAGAGAUAAGUGCUGAAAGCAUCUAAGCACGAAACUUGCCCCGAGAUGAGUUCUCCCUGAGACUUUAAGUCUCCUGAAGGAACGUUAAAGACGAUGACGUUGAUAGGCCGGGUGUGUAAGCGCAGCGAUGCGUUGAGCUAACCGGUACUAAUGAACCGUGAGGCUUAACCUU